rnacentral:rRNA from 1 species
CGGGACACGUGGUAUCCUGUCUGAAUAUGGGGGGACCAUCCUCCAAGGCUAAAUACUCCUGACUGACCGAUAGUGAACCAGUACCGUGAGGGAAAGGCGAAAAGAACCCCGGCGAGGGGAGUGAAAAAGAACCUGAAACCGUGUACGUACAAGCAGUGGGAGCACGCUUCGGCGUGUGACUGCGUACCUUUUGUAUAAUGGGUCAGCGACUUAUAUUCUGUAGCAAGGUUAACCGAAUAGGGGAGCCGAAGGGAAACCGAGUCUUAACUGGGCGUUAAGUUGCAGGGUAUAGACCCGAAACCCGGUGAUCUAGCCAUGGGCAGGUUGAAGGUUGGGUAACACUAACUGGAGGACCGAACCGACUAAUGUUGAAAAAUUAGCGGAUGACUUGUGGCUGGGGGUGAAAGGCCAAUCAAACCGGGAGAUAGCUGGUUCUCCCCGAAAGCUAUUUAGGUAGCGCCUCGUGAAUUCAUCUCCGGGGGUAGAGCACUGUUUCGGCAAGGGGGUCAUCCCGACUUACCAACCCGAUGCAAACUGCGAAUACCGGAGAAUGUUAUCACGGGAGACACACGGCGGGUGCUAACGUCCGUCGUGAAGAGGGAAACAACCCAGACCGCCAGCUAAGGUCCCAAAGUCAUGGUUAAGUGGGAAACGAUGUGGGAAGGCCCAGACAGCCAGGAUGUUGGCUUAGAAGCAGCCAUCAUUUAAAGAAAGCGUAAUAG